CUGGCUUUGAACUGCAUUCAAAGCAAUCUUUGCCACAAAAACCCUUUUUAUUUCCAAUUAAAGCAACAAGGAGACCAACAGAAAUGAGCAGAGCUUACCUGUAACUUGUUAAGAAUUGA